UCUCCGUAGGUGAACCAGCGGAAGGAUCAUUACUGUAUAACCGAGGUCCGAGGCCUUGUGCUGAUCCGACACGUUGUGUACGCCCGAGUGCCCUCUAACACAUCCACCCCACCCCCUCGCCCACCACCGCGCCGGCCCCCCUUCGGCUUGCUCGGAGGCGGGCUUAUGUUUUCACACCAACUUAGCUUGCACUGUAGGACGAAUUUUUUGUUUUUGCGUCCCUUCAUUCAAUACAACUUUCAACAACGGACCUCUUGGCACUCGCAUCGACGAAAAACC
rnacentral:misc_RNA from 1 species